rnacentral:tRNA from 1 species
GGAGUGGUUAAAGGAGAGAACUGGCAUACUGCCCUCCGAAGGCAGAGGUCGUGAGUUCGAAUCUCGCCGGGUCCGCCA